rnacentral:rRNA from 1 species
UACGAAGGGGGCUAGCGUUGCUCGGAAUCACUGGGCGUAAAGGGUGCGUAGGCGGGUUUUUAAGUCAGGGGUGAAAUCCUGGAGCUCAACUCCAGAACUGCCUUUGAUACUGAAGAUCUUGAGUCCGGGAGAGGUGAGUGGAACUGCGAGUGUAGAGGUGAAAUUCGUAGAUAUUCGCAAGAACACCAGUGGCGAAGGCGGCUCACUGGCCCGGUACUGACGCUGAGGUGCGAAAGCGUGGGGAGCAAACGGG